GACAGAGGGUGCAAACGUUGUCCGGAAUCAUUGGGCGUAAAGAGCGCGUAGGCGGCUAGAUAAGUCCGGUGUGAAAGUCACAGGCUCAACCUGUGAAUGCCGCUGGAAACUGUCUGGCUAGAGUCCGGAAGGGGCGAGUGGAAUUCCUGGUGUAGCGGUGAAAUGCGCAGAUAUCAGGAGGAACACCAGUGGCGAAGGCGGUCUGCUGGGCCGUUGCUGACGCUGAGGCGCGACAGCGUGGGGAGCAAACAGG
rnacentral:rRNA from 1 species